UGGGGAAGUGGCUCGGCUUCAUCAAGCAGGUGUCUUUCUCAGGGGGACUUUUUACGCACUGGAGGUGGUGAGGAGAGGGAAUUUGAAGAGCUUAGGGUGUUCAUUUCUCUCUUUACCUCCUUAUCAAGGUGGGCAUUUUUUGCCUGCAAACAUGGUGUCCAAACUAACAUCUUUGCAGCAGGAGCUUUUAUCCGCCCUGUUAGACUCCGGAGUUACCAAAGAUGUUUUGAUCCAGGCGCUGGACGACAUGGAGCCGAGCCCGGCCAGUUAUGGAGUUAAACUGGAGAACCUUCACAUGUCUCCGUCGGCGGGUAAAACAAACGGCAGCGACGUGGAGGCCAAGCCGAUCUUUCAUAGUUUGACCAAUGGGCACAGUAAAGGGAAAUUGUCGGGGGACGAAUGCUCUGAAGACGGAGAUGAUUACGACACGCCGCCUAUCCUGAAGGAGCUGCAGUCUCUCAACACGGAGGAAGCGGCGGAGCAGCGCGCAGAGGUGGACCGCAUGUUGGCCGAGGACCCAUGGAGAGCCGCGCGCAUGAUCAAGGGCUACAUGCAGCAGCACAACAUUCCCCAGCGCGAAGUGGUCGACGUCACCGGCCUCAACCAAUCACAUCUCUCUCAGCACCUGAACAAGGGCACACCCAUGAAGACGCAGAAGCGCGCGGCUCUGUACACCUGGUACGUCAGGAAGCAGCGCGAGAUUCUGCGACAAUUCAACCAAGCAUCACAAGGGUCUGGCAGUAGCAUGACAGACAAAGUCAGUCAGGAUCAAGUGCUCCUUCUUUUCCCUGAGUUCACUCAGCCUGGACCGGGCAUGGGGCAGCCUGGAGAGGACGCUGGCACUGAACCUGCCCUCAAGAAACUCAGACGCAACCGCUUCAAGUGGGGGCCUGCAUCCCAGCAGAUCCUCUACCAAGCCUAUGAACGACAGAAGAACCCAAGUAAAGAAGAGCGGGAAACUCUGGUUGAUGAAUGCAAUCGGGCAGAGUGUCUCCAGAGAGGUGUGUCGCCAUCUAAAGCCCAAGGGCUUGGUACCAAUUUAGUCACAGAGGUGCGUGUUUACAACUGGUUUGCUAAUCGGCGCAAAGAAGAAGCCUUCAGACAGAAGCUGGCUAUGGAUGCCUAUGGAGGGCAAAGCAUCAACCCGCUCCUCACACACAGCUCGCCACACCAUUCCCAGGCCAGCACCUCUCCCCCCAGCAAGAUGCAAGCUAUAAGGUACAACCAUGGUCCCAGUGAUGUCAGCUCUUCCAGCACUAUCAAUCACCACAGCAUGACGAGCAGCCAGUCUGUAUUGCAGCAAGUCUCUCCCGGAGCCCUGGACCCAAGCCAUGGCCUGUUGUCACCUGACGCCAAGAUGAUCUCGGUAUCAGGUGGAGGUCUUCCACCAGUUAGCACCUUGACUAACAUCCACAGUUCCCACCAUGCUCACCAGCAAACACAGAACCUCAUUAUGCCCAUCUCUGGAGUAAUGGCCAUUGCACAGGGUCUGAGCUCAUCGCAGGCACAGACGGUGCCAGUUAUCAACAGUGUGGCAGGAAGCCUGGCCACCCUGCAGCCUGUGCAGUUCUCACAGCAGCUGCAUAACUCUCACCAACAGAGCCUCAUGCAACAGUCUCACAGCCACAUGAGCCAACAGCCCUUCAUGGCCACAGUUACACACUCACAUAACAUUUCUGACACGUGUGACACUUGGACCGCUGUUGCAUCUUUUUCACAGUGUACCCACACAAGCAGGAGCCACCGCAGUAUUCCCACCCGUCACGCUUUCCAUCCGCCAUGGUAGUAUCAGACAACAACAGCCUCAGCAGCCUCAGCUCAAUGUCCUCCUCCAAACAGGAUGCUCCUGUAAACAAGAUGGUGCAACUGGGGGGUCUCAACUGGUGUCCUCUGCAAGCCUGGUGAGCAUAUCCACCCGACUUCCUCAAUGCCUAGCAACAGGAGCACAUUUCUUCGGCUCUCUCCCUGCUGUAUCUGUGGCAACUCCUAAUCACUGGCAGCAGUGCACUGGAAGAUGAGCUGGUCACUAAUGUAGGGACUGAAAAAAAGAGGCGAGCAAUCAGAAAGGAGACUCUGAACAGCUUGGUCUAAUUGUACCAUGGAAAGAUGGGAGGAUUACCUGGAAAUUACUACAUCUGAUCAAUUUCCAAGCUAGUCUUUUAUAACAGUGUUUUGCUUCCAAACACCAAAAUAAAAAGAGGAUGAUUCUUAUAUCUUUUAGGAACAAAUGGAAAUGGUGUUAAACUGACAUGAUUUUGUAGUCUCACAUGGUUACUGUACCAAAUGCUAAAGGAUAACCAUUGCUCCAUUUCUGACCUUUUAAUGGACUUUAAGAGGCUUCUUCUCAUCCAGUCUCAGUCAGCAGUGAGCUCACCUAGACAUAGAUGUUGUGUAAUCAGUUUCCGGCAAAUGACAAUCAGCUUAUAUUAUUUUCAACAUGUGUCAAGUCUUUUUGGGUAGAACAUUACAGACUGAAUGUGUUGGAUUUUCCUGCAUUUACAUUGCAGUGGGUCUUCCAUUUGUGCGGUUAAUACAGUAUGACAAUAUGAAUAGUCACUGUUCUGUACAGCUGUAAAUAUGAAUGAUAUGAAUUAUAAGUCUUGAAACAUGUACAUAUUUCAGGUCCAUAUCUUUUUUUUUUUCAACAAACUGUGAUUUAGAAGUGACAAUCUUUAGAACAGAAAGGACUAUGCAAUAUACUGAAUAGCACAAACACAAAAUAGUGGGAUUAGCCCCUUAUCUGCAGUUUUUAAAACACUUACACCAGCAAAACUACAGGACAAAAGCCUGUCAAAGCCAAGCUGCAGAUAUUGCACAAGCACAUUGCAUUUUCCCCUUUUUCCUUUAUGGUGUUUGGGAAUGCCAUGAAAAUACCAUGAAAAUGAGACGUAACAUAAUGCUUUUAUUCUGUUUUAACAUUAUUCUGUUAUAAAUAGUAAUGAUGGUAUUACAGGCAGGUUAUUAAGAGCCUGUUGCUGUGUAUUAGAUGGAUAGUCACUGAGAGGCUUAUAACUGUUGUCUGUCAUCAGGCCAUAGUCACCAGGACAAACAGUAUUACCCACUUAUGCAACUCAGAAGUACACAAAACAUGAUGUAAUAACUCAUGAAGUCAAACACUAGACACCACAUGCAUUCGAUUUAUUUGUGGACUGCUAGACGUGGAAAAAGGAAGAAUGUGAUUUUGUUGGUUUGCUUUACUCUUGUAACUCCUGUUGUUCUUACUUUCCAAAAGGUCAUUUUAAAGUCAUUCUCAACACAAAUAAUUCGAUUUUCCCUGUCAUGUAUUAUUUUUGUAUAAAAUGAAAAUCAAACUUUUAAAAUCAUUAUUUAUACUGUGAGAGAGAAAAAAUGAUGUCUCAAGUAAAGGCUCUUUCUAAGACCA